rnacentral:piRNA from 1 species
CAAAGUAUUGGGUAGAUGGA